rnacentral:tRNA from 1 species
GAAGAUGUGACUCAGUGGUAGAGCACUUGCUUGACAUGCAUAAGGCCCUAGUUUUGAUCCCUAGCUCUACA